UACAGAGGUCUCAAGCGUUGUUCGGAUUCAUUGGGCGUAAAGGGUGCGUAGGUGGGUCUGUAAGUCAGUGGUGAAAUCUCCGAGCUUAACUUGGGAACUGCCAUUGAUACUAUCAGUCUUGAAUACUGUGGAGGUUAGCGGAAUAUGUCAUGUAGCGGUGAAAUGCUUAGAUAUGACAUAGAACACCAAUUGCGAAGGCAGCUUACUACCCGAAUAUUGACACUGAGGAGCGAAAGCAUGGGGAGCGAACAGG
rnacentral:rRNA from 1 species